rnacentral:rRNA from 1 species
AGAUUGAACGCUGGCGGCGUGCUUAACACAUGCAAGUCGAGCGGUAACGCGGGAGCAAUCCUGGCGACGAGCGGCGAACGGGUGAGUAAUGCUUGGGAAUCUGCCCAUUAGUGGGGAACAACCAGCCGAAAGGUUGGCUAAUACCGCAUACGCCCUACGGGGGAAAGCGGGGGAUCGAAAGACCUCGCGCUAAUGGAUGAGCCCAAGUCGGAUUAGCUUGUUGGUAGGGUAACGGCCUACCAAGGCGACAAUCCGUAGCUGGUCUGAGAGGACGACCAGCCACACUGGGACUGAGACACGGCCCAGACUCCUACGGGAGGCAGCAGUGGGGAAUAUUGGACAAUGGGGGCAACCCUGAUCCAGCGACGCCGCGUGUGUGAAGAAGGCCUGCGGGUUGUAAAGCACUUUUAGUGGGGAUGAAAAGCUCAGGGUUAACACCUCUGGGUCUUGACCUAACCACAGAAAAGCACCGGCUAACUCUGUGCCAGCAGCCGCGGU